ensembl:snRNA U6 U6 spliceosomal RNA
GUGCUUGCUUCAGCAACACAUAUACUAUGAUUGGAACGAUACAGAAAAGAUUAGCAUGGUCCCUGCACAAGGAUGAUACAUAAAAUAAAAUCAGUCACAGCAGUUCU